rnacentral:rRNA from 1 species
UACAGAGGGUGCUAGCGUUAAUCGGAAUUAUUGGGCGUAAAGCGCAUGUAGGUGGACAUUUAAGUCGGGUGUGAAAGCCCCGGGCUCAACCUGGGAAUCGCAUUCGAUACUGAAUGUCUAGAGUAUGGGAGAGGGAAGUGGAAUUUCCGGUGUAGCGGUGAAAUGCGUAGAUAUCGGAAAGAACAUCAGUGGCGAAGGCGGCUUCCUGGCCUAAUACUGACACUUAAGUGCGAAAGCGUGGGGAGCAAACAGG